rnacentral:rRNA from 1 species
UACGUAGGGUGCAAGCGUUGUCCGGAAUUAUUGGGCGUAAAGAGCUCGUAGGCGGUCUGUCGCGUCUGCUGUGAAAACUCAGGGCUUAACCCUGAGCUUGCAGUGGGUACGGGCAGACUAGAGUGCGGUAGGGGAGACUGGAAUUCCUGGUGUAGCGGUGAAAUGCGCAGAUAUCAGGAAGAACACCCGUGGCGAAGGCGGCUCUCUGGUACGUGACUGACGCUGAGACGCGAAAGCGUGGGGAGCGAACAGG